rnacentral:rRNA from 1 species
CUUAACACAUGCAAGUCGAACGAGAAGCCGAACUUCGGUUUGGUGGAAAGUGGCAGACGGGUGAGUAACGCGUGGGAAUUUACCCAAUGGUACGGAAUAACUCAGGGAAACUUGGGCUAAUACCGUAUGUGCCCGCAAGGGGAAAGAUUUAUCGCCAUUGGAUGAGCCCGCGUCUGAUUAGCUAGUUGGUGGGGUAAAGGCCUACCAAGGCGACGAUCAGUAGCUGGUCUGAGAGGAUGAUCAGCCACACUGGGACUGAGACACGGCCCAGACUCC